rnacentral:lncRNA from 1 species
GGAGUUCGACGAGGAACUUGGUCGUUACUAUGUUUCGUUUCCUGAUGAUCAGUAGUGGAGCCCAGUUGGGACGAUCGGGGAUCUAGCAUUUGGGGUUGUCUUCUUUUAUUUUGGUUCCGUAGUCGGACCUUGAUUGUACUCUGAAUGAUGUAUGUUUAAUUUAUGUAUUGUGUGAAGUGGCGACUGUAAGCCAACUCUUUAUCCCAUUCUUGUUCAUUACAUGGGAUUGUGUGAAGAUGACCCUUCUUGCGACAAAACCACCAUGCGGUUAUGCCUCCAAGUGGUGCCUCGACACGUGGGAGAUAUAGCCGCAUCAUGGGCGUUACAAGUUGGUAAUUAGAGCCAUCCCCGAGUUAGGAGCCCCCUGCUUGAUCGAAUCGCUGGCGUUGUUGAGUCUAGAACAAAAAAUGUUUUGAGUCUUAGGAUUAUAUAUAUCGGAGAGUAGGAUUCUUUUUACUUCUCAGUCCCUUCGUCGCUUUGGUGAGGCCCCCUGACGUAGAAGUUUUGACUCUACUCUCCUCAAAUUUCACUAAAAAAAAUUUAGGAUCAUGUGUGUAUCUUGGAAUCGUUCCGAUAGUCUUGUGACGAGAACAUUGUUCUUGUUGCCUCCUGACAUUUACGGGUUGUGGCAGUGUCCCAGGGAGGUUAGCUGUGAGGUGUUGUCGCCACAAUUUUAUCGUUGCAGUUCUGGAAUACCUGAGUUUCGCCGACAUCAAAAAAUCUCUUUUAUGCAGUUGUUGGUGAGAUCACCUCGACGCCACCCAGUACUGGGGUGGGAGCUCGGGAGUAUUGACAUAACUCGUAUAACAGAUGCUUUUCGAAGGUUGAUGUAAAUGAUUUCCGAAGGUUUCUUGGUUAUGUGUUGAAGCAUGGAUACAGCUGGAUCUAGGUAUUGUUAGUUUGGGUGAGAUAUAUUGCGUCCCCUGUAUCCCCAACACCAGAUUGCAUAACCAGAAAGUUUCGGGAGUUUAUAAGUGGGAAUUCAAGUAGCUCCUAGGAUAUCUUUCCGACAGAUGCAUGAUAUGAGAUUGGGGUUCGACGUCUAGUGGUCCACCUAUCCACGGUUGGUUUUACAGUGGUCUCGUUGUGUCUUAAAGAGUCCUUGGCUAUGCUGACUCGGGGACGCUUCGUAUGUCAUGUGCACUGCCUUGUACAUGAUGGUGCUGUACGAUCAAGCCCGUGUGGGCCCCACCACGAAAACUUCGGACGAAAUCGCUAUCAUAUGUUUGUUCUGGCUUAUUUUGCAAGCCAAUCCUUUGUUUUGUUUUGAGUUGUGGUAUUCGAGUUGCUUCGAAGUCAAAUGUGGAUUCCAUACCUUUUCUGAACGGUGUUCUCAUAUUUCUAUGGGAGUGCUAAUCCUGCUUGAUCACGGAGGUUGUCAUGUCAAAUCUUUUCCAACCGAUGUGCUUCUCUUCAAGUGGAUCCGAUCAUUUCAACAUUCGCAAGAUCACCUCUCAGUUUCCCAACGUUGUUUGUUUCAUCUGUCCCAAGUUGCCUUUGUUUUCCCGCCCUCCCACCCUUUUUCUUCAAGGACUCUGAUUUCUUAAUCAUGUAUCCAUCUUAUGGAUGUGAAGUUUCUCCAUUGUUUUCUUUCAAUGUUAUUAUCCGGUGAUUCUCAGGAAGAUACUAACGGAGCUUCAAGUUCAUCAUUCUCUUUUCUUCUCCGGUGGAUUCAAUUAAAGUUUUCGAUGUUAAUCACAUUCCUUUCCUUGUUUCAAAUGCUUUCCCAUGCCGGUGCACCUCUUAAUUGUUCAUCUCUCUUUAUUCAUAUCCGAAGUGACGAAGAUAUCUCAGAAGAUUCGCGUUUCCAUUCUCGAUCCGUUCAAGUUAGUUCGAGGUUGUUAUCUCAUUCAAGCCACUUAAUUCAACCGGUGCAGUCUCUCUUAAAAAUCAUUCCAACGGUGUUUCUUUUGAGUGGGCCCUAACCCACAGGUCUUUUCCCAGGAUCUUACCUGACUCUUCUAAAUUUUCCCGGAGCUAUUCCCAAAUUCAUUUCAAAGUUUGAUGUAAGAAUGAAUUAUCAUCAGUCAAAUGUCUUUCUCCAAGAUUUUUCAAAUUCUUUCCAUUGUUGGUUCAACCUUUCUAAUUAUCAUCCAGGAGUAUCUCAACAAUUCAUGGCGGUGUUUCUCAUCGUCAUUCUUGGAUCUUGAAUACCGAAGAGGAGUUCCUCUUAAAUCCUUACCCGUUCUUCCAAAGAUGCGAAGUUCAAGCUUGAUGCCAUCCUCUGAUAAUUGUUUUUGAUUGUGGGAAUUCUUUUUACCCAUCCGGAGCAUUUCAUGAGUUGUUCCCAUUUCUUUCCUCCGUAGGCCAUCAUGUCAUAAUUAUUCAUUCCAGCUUUCAUCUCUCAUUCUCCAAAUCUUACCGGUGAAUCAUUCAAGUAUCCUCUAGUCAGCUCUUGAUCUCUUCGUUCUCAUGUAUCUAAAUACCCUCAAGUAUCUUCAUUCGUUUUCCAAUUCUUCCCGGUGAAUUGUGCCUUUGUUACUUUCAUUCUCAAUUAUUAUGGUGGUUCAUUCAAGAAUUCUCUUCCGUUGUUAUCGUAUCAAUUCAUUCGUUAUUUCCAAAUUAUCUUCCGUUGUUACCGGUGGUUCGUUGAAGUCCUUCUCAAGUUUGCGCUAUAUCUAUCUUAAUCCUUUCUACGAGAAUAAGUAGUAUGCCAAAUCAGUUGCUUGUCAUCAAUCUAAAUUGGUGAAGGAUACGCAUAACAUAAUUCUUAUUAUGGUUUCAUCCAAGUGAUCUAGUUUCUUCUUUCCAGAGUUGUUCAUCAUGUCAUUUUGUCGGUUCGAGAUGCUUCAUAUUUUUUUUUCCGGAGUUCCAAGUUUUCCGCAUUAUCUCGUCGCGAAGCUCCAUCUAAAUCAUCGCAAGGCUUCACCUUGUGUUUUCAACUUCUCUAUCUUUUUAUCAUCCUUUUAUUACCGGAGUUCUCACGAAGGCUCUACAUGAUAGUUCAUCAAGGAUGCCUUUCAUUCUCGAAUAGUUCUUCAAGAUUUUUCUCGAAGUUAAGAUCCGCCAAGCUAUAUUCAAAGAUAAACAUGGUGCUCAACACAUGUUUUGUCUUGAGGAGUUCAAGCAUUCUUCAUCUUGCAUUCCGAAGUGCAAUUCUUUCUACCUUAUCUUUUGAGGUGGUGUUAUUUCAUUCUUGAUAAUUUCCCUUCGUGUUUCAUGAUUCACUAGUUUUCAAGAGUGACAUAUCUAAAUCUAUCAUUUUCUCUUCGCUCAAGACAUCUUUUCAACCAAUCAACCUCUUCAUUGGAGUUAUCUUGGGUUAUAUUUCACCUAAAGCUUGCCCUAAGGAUUUUUCCUAUUUAUGGUGCUCAUAAAUGACCCAAGUUCUUCGUUUAUCCUCCCGGCGAAAUAAGUUUCUCGUCUCCUUGUUCAUAUCAAUCCAAUCUAUUGUUUUUCCGUUAGUGGCAGAAUUUCACCUCAAGUUUUUUAGAUGUUUUCCAUAACCCACAACAAGCUUGUUCUUUUCGUUGUUGAUUUUUCCAACAACUUUGUUCAAUCCUUAUUUUUAAGGAUGCUUUUCAAAUUCAAUUGUGGUAGAAGAUAUCAUUUUCUUCUCAAAUCUUUCCUUUCCAACGAUCCAACUUCUAUUCUUUCGUUCCGGAGGCAUUGUGAUGUUGCUCUCUUCACUCAUCAUCUCGGAUAGUGAGGACCAUGUUCUUUUUGUGCUUAUCCAUUCAACCGGAAUGUUGUGUCCUCUUUUCAAGUAUCCUCUCAUCUUGUCAAGAUCAUGUUCAAUUCCUUCCAUUUACAGUCGGAGUGCUGUCAAAAUUAUAUCAUGCUUAUUCCUUCCCUAUCUUGUUUUAACCGGAGUGGUUUCAAUAUCUAUGUUGUCACUUAACCUCUUGGUUCUCAUCGUAUUCCAUGUUCUUCUUAUCUAACAGAGUGUUUUCUACUUCGUUCAUCUCCAUUGUAUUCUUUUCAAAAAAAUUGUUUAACCUCUGAAGGUUCCUUGGUUUCACUCAUUCGUUGAAGAAGCAACUUUGUUUUACCUCUUCCUCUUCCGCUUUUCUCCGGCGCCAUCCUAGAUCUCGGGACGAGAUCCUCUUGUAGUGGUGGAGUGUUGUAACACCCCGAGACCGACGCUCCAAGUGCCUUCCUUGUUUUGCGAGUCAGCUGUGUUAUUUAUUUGUUUGUUGCACUCAUCUCAUAGCAUCAUGCGCAUUGCAUUUGCAUGUUUUCAUAAAGCUUGCAUCCGUUCCUAGUUGCCGUGUUCCCCUUCCUUGGUUGACGGUUCCGAGUCCCUCGGGUUUUUGCUUCCCUCUUGACCGUGACCCCCUAACCCCCUUUGCGUGGGUGUCCCACUUCCCCGAACUCGAUCCGGGCAGUCGUGACCGUUGGAUUCAGAUCAUCCCCAAACAUCAAUAAAACAUCUCCGUUUUCUUUAUUGGACUCCCUAGCCUAUUUAUUCCCCGUCCGUCGGUUUUCGAUCGGAAGGUCCAAACUCUCCCCAUUCCCUAUACAUAGUUCACCCACAUGCCUAUUUGGACAAACCCUAGACCAACUCCCUAAAAUUCCUCCUAGCCACCGCCACCCCUGUCCAUUCUCUCCUCCUUUCUCGGGAUCUCACCCGCCUACCCAUCCACCAGCCGCCACUCUCUCCAUCGGGAUCCCUCCCGAUCCACCACCUCCCCUCGUUUUCAGCCCCGAGGCAACCAGCGGCUCCUUCUUGUCCCCGUGGAGCAGCGAGUUGUGCCUGACCCCGCCUCGUCUCCGCGCCGCCGACGAGCUUCGUUCAAGAUGAGCCACGCGCCCCCUUCUUUUCCUUUCUCUCCCUUCCCCUGGUUCUUCUCUCCCCUGACCGCACUGUCUUCCUCUUCUCUGGUUCACAGGAAGGCCAUGGCCUUGGAGCUUCACCCACGUCCAUCUCCCUCAGCGCGCCCGAGAUCCAUCCUCCCGAUGCAACCAGCCACCACGUCCUCCUCCUUCGUGCGCCCCUGUGCCUGCGACCGCCGGGAUGCCAGCCUCCUCUCGCGCCCGAGGGGCUCCCCGAGCACCUCGUCCCUGCCGCCAAGUCGUUGCCCAAGGCCCCGUCCUUGCCACCCUCUGACGACCUCGUCUUCACGCGUUGCUGGAACCCCUCGAUGCUCUCUCGCACCUACAAGGCAUCGUCCCCUGAACCUGUCGGUUUUCCUCCUCUGCAACAAGCCGGAGCGCUCAUCUUGCUCAUCUGCAUCGACCCAGCGGCCCUGGCCUCAACUCGCCGCCGGAUCCGUUUCCUAUCGACGUCCAUGACGAGCUCCGCCCGGUAUCCUCACGCCCCGCCGCCCGCUGCCUCCUCUGCAUCAAGCCGGCGCGCCUGACCUCUUCGUCGCGCUGUUCCCCUUCUUCUGCGUGCAAGGAGGACGACUAGCGCCAAGUCCCACAGCGCCCGUUGACCGUGUCGUUGCCUCCAGAUCCGGCCCAGCCAGCGCCCUCUCCACCGACCUGGGCCUCAGCCCAUGGUGAGCCAGCGCUGCGCCCCUUCCACCGUUGGCCCAAGUGCAGAUUCGGCCCGUAGAUUUUUUUUCCAGUUCUGCGAAUUUAGCAUUAUCCAGUGAUUUACUGUUUUGCAGAAAAACCCUGAUGAUCAUGCAUUUAAUAACUCCACAACCGUGCAUCGGAUUAAAAUGAAUUAUAUAUGUAAAAUGCUUAGAAUUUCAUCUAGUUUCAUAAUAUGCUGCUUGCAUCCUUGUUUAAAAUGUUUAAAAUUCUGCUUGCAUUUAAUUUGCUAAAUGCCAUGUUAAAAUGAUUUAUUUCAGAACUAAUUAACCGUAGCUCGGGUUUAAAUAAACGUUAUAUGUAAAUGGGGUAGAAAAAUGCAUAGUUUAACAUGGUGGCAUUACUUUGCAUGUUUAACCACUCUAAAAUAUGCUUUAGGACAGAACAGUACCAAAUCUAAAAUAUGGACAUGAGGAUUUUCCGGAAUUGUUGUUUGUUGUUCCGGCCUCAUUUAAACUUGCCUAAAUAUAUAGUUUAUAUAUGUUUCACCCCUUGCCAUGUUUAAUAACAUUUAAUAUUGUUGGGUACAUAAAUGAGAGUGAACUAAAUAUUUGAAUGUGGUGUUUCGUCAAUAUGCAACUCGUUGCAUAUUGGGCUCCACUUAAUUUGUGGUAUUGUUUGUGCACUUUGCCAUGCCAAGCAUAUUUAAACUGGACAUGCAUCAUACUUAUUUGUGCAUCAUGCCAUGUGUAUGUGGUGGUUGUUUACUAUGUUGUUUGUUUCUUUCCGGGUUGCUUCUCUCGUUAGCUUUGGUUUCGUUCCGGAGUUGUGAGGAUUCAUUCGACUACGUCCGUUUGUCUUCUUCAUGGACUCGUUCUUCUUCCUUGCGGGAUCUCAGGCAAGAUGACCGUACCCUCGAUAUCACUUCUAUCUUUGCUUGCUAGUUGUUUGCUCUAUCGCUAUGUUCGCGCUACCUACCACCUGUUUAUCAUGCCUACCAUAUUGCCAUGUCAAGCCUCUAACCAUCCUUUCCUCGCAAACCGUUGUUUGGCUAAGUUACCGCUUUUGCUCAGCCCUUCUUAUAGCAUUGCUAGUUGCAGGUGAAGUUGAAGUUGGUUCCAUGUUGGAACAUGAUAAUUUUGGGAUAUCACAAUAUCUCUUAUUUAGUUAAUGCAUCUAUAUACUUGGUAAAGGGUGGAAGGCUCGGCCUUAUGCCUGGUGUUUUGUUCCACUCUUGCCGCCCUAGUUUCCGUCAUACCGGUGUUAUGUUCCUUGAUUUUGCGUUCCUUACGCGGUUGGGGGUUUGUGGGACCCCCUUGACAGUUCGCUUUGAAUAAAACUCUUCCAGCAAGGCCCAACCUUGGUUUUAACAUUUGCCACCUAAGCCUUCUUCCCUUGGGUUCUGCAGACUCAACGGUCAUUUUUAUUUUAACCCUCCGGGCCAGUGUUCCUCUGAGUGUUGGUCCAAACCGGGCGAUGUCCGGCGCCCCCUGGGCAACCAGGGUCUAUGCCAACCCGACGUCUUGCCCAUCCGGUGUGCCCUGAGAACGAGAUACGUGCGACUCCUAUCAGGAUUUGUCGGCACAUCGGGUGGCUUUGCUGGUCUUGUUUUACCAAUGUCGAAAAGUCUUGUAACCGGGAUUCCGAGACUGAUCGGGUCUUCCCAGGAGAAGGAAUAUCCUUUGUUGACCGUGAGAACUUGUGAUGGGCUAAGUUGGGACACCCCUGCAGGGUAUUAUCUUUCGAAAGCCGUGCCCGCGGUUAUGUGGCAGAUGGGAAUUUGUUAAUAUCCGAUUGUAGAGAACUGGACACUUGACUUAAUUAAAAUACAUCAACCACGUGUGUAGCCGUGAUGGUCUCUUUUCGGCGGGGUCCUGGAAGUGAACAUGGUUUGGGUUAUGUAUGAACGUAAGCAGUUUCAGGAUAACUUCUAGCUUCGCGACCAUUGCGUUGCUCCUCUUCUCGCUCUUACUUGCGCAUGUUAGCCACCAUAUUUGCUUAGUGCUUGCUGCAGCUCCACGUCAUUACCCCAUCCUUCCUAUAAGCUUAAAUAGUCUUGAUCUCGCGGGUGUGAGAUUGCUGAGUCCUCGUGAUUCACAGAUUCUACCAAAACAGUUGCAGGUGCCGACGAUACCAGUGCAGGUGACGUAACCGAGCUCAAGUGGGAGUUCGACGAGGAACUUGGUCGUUACUAUGUUUCGUUUCCUGAUGAUCAGUAGUGGAGCCCAGUUGGGACGAUCGGGGAUCUAGCAUUUGGGGUUGUCUUCUUUUAUUUUGGUUCCGUAGUCGGACCUUGAUUGUACUCUGAAUGAUGUAUGUUUAAUUUAUGUAUUGUGUGAAGUGGCGACUGUAAGCCAACUCUUUAU